AGGAGUUGGCAAUGAUUCACGAGAAGAAACCAAUACUUCAGCAUCCCCAAGCAAGCUCGGUAGCGUUGUCACAAAGAUAGUUCAAAUCAUCUUAAAUGGAAGAGAGCGAUAUUGAUUUAUCACUGCUACAACAAAUGAACUAUUACUUGAGUCUCUUCUCGAUGUCCUUCCUUGCCGAGGUUUUGGUGUGUUUAGGACUUGAACUGAACCACAAGCGAGCAGGCUGAAGAAUAUGUGCAGCUAAAAGCUCCUUCGGAGAAAAGAAGAGCCGAGAGGAAGCUUUCCAUCUUCAACACAUAGAAUAGGAGGAGAGGCGUGCAUGGACCAAUGCCAAGCGACCACAGGCCUGAAUCGUGGAGCUUCGUCUGUUAACCGACGGCAAUGAGCAUAGGCGCGAGGAGGUGGUCUCGAGGAGAAGCUGCUCGAUGAGGUUGGUCUGUCGCCGAGCUUAACUGCAAGAUCCUCAUCUCUGUCUGCUGCAUGAGUAAGGUUGAAAUGGUCAAACAUGUUGAGACACUGGCAAUCUCUCUUGAGCUGCUCAAUUGAGC